GGACCAAGGAGUCUAGCAUGUGCGCGAGUCAUUGGGACUCUAACGAAACCUAAAGGCGCAAUGAAAGUGAAGGUUCGCCUCGCGCGAACCGAGGGAGGAUGGGUGGUCGCAAGUGGCCGCCCCGCACUCCCGGGGCGUCUCGUUCUCAUCGCGAGAAGAGGCGCACCCAGAGCGUACACGCUGGGACCCGAAAGAUGGUGAACUAUGCCUGGUCAGGACGAAGUCAGGGGAAACCCUGAUGGAGGUCCGUAGCGAUUCUGACGUGCAAAUCGAUCGUCGGAACUGGGUAUAGGGGCGAAAGACUAAUCGAACCAUCUAGUAGCUGGUUCCCUCCGAAGUUUCCCUCAGGAUAGCUGGCGCUCGCUUCUUGCGAGUCUCAUUCGGUAAAGCGAAUGAUUAGAGGCAUUGGGGUCGAAACGGCCUCAACCUAUUCUCAAACUUUAAAUGGGUGAGAUCUCCGGCUUGCUUGAACUGUGAAGCCGCGAGAUAUCGGAUCAGAGUGCCAAGUGGGCCACUUUUGGUAAGCAGAACUGGCGCUGUGGGAUGAACCAAACGCCGAGUUAAAGCGCCUAAAUCGACGCUUAUGGGAUACCAUGAAAGGCGUUGGUAACUUAAGACAGCAGGACGGUGGCCAUGGAAGUCGGAA
rnacentral:rRNA from 1 species